rnacentral:misc_RNA from 1 species
UCUCGCUUGAGCUUGGGCUGAUUCGGCAUUUAUUUCAGAAUAUUAUCUGUCAUUAGUAUUGAUAAAUUGAGAAAGUGAAGAGUGAUCCUAACCUGAGCUGAUUAUAACUUGUAUAGUAAAGAUAUUGCUGCAUACGAAAGCCUGUCAUCUCUUAAUGAAUUAAAUUUGUAAGGGCUGUACCAUUUUUAUUAAAUUUGUAUUAUAGUAUGUUUUGAGAAUGAGUUUCGUAAUGAAUUCACAUCUUGCAUUCACAAUUCAUGCUGAUAUGCAUUUUAAUUUCCUCUGUAUUUUCACAUUAGAAUGUAUCAAUUUAUGCAUUUACUUGAAAUUGAAAACAAAAUACAGCGUAAGGCUAAAAGACAGUUUAAGAGCAAAUGAGAAUACACUGAAAUGACUGUAUCAAUAAUGUUUAUAAGAGAUAAAUCUGUCAGACAUCUGGAAUUUUGUCCAUGACCUCUUGAAGAAUUACCUUUGUCCCUUGAUAAGAUGAUUCUGUCUGAGGCAGGUUUUUCCUUCUUGAAGCAUCUUCAAGCUCCUCAAAAUUGUCAAACAAUCUGUUGGCUAAAUCAGUAAGAGAUUGCUUAUCAUUCGCCGGAGCUGCAGAUAUAACUUUGUCGAAAUCAUAGUACAUGAAAGUGGACUUGAGUCUCAAGUACUUCCUAACAUAAUUCAAUGUGUCUGGCCCUAUCAAAUCCUCCAUUGCCAAA